CAGUCGCCGCGGGAAUACGUAGGUGGCAAGCGUUGUCCGGAAUUAUCGGGCGUAAAGGGCUCGCAGGCGGUUUCUUAAGUCUGAUGUGAAAGCCCCCGGCUCAACCGGGGAGGGUCAUUGGAAACUGGGAAACUUGAGUGCAGAAGAGGAGAGUGGAAUUCCACGUGUAGCGGUGAAAUGCGUAGAGAUGUGGAGGAACACCAGUGGCGAAGGCGACUCUCUGGUCUGUAACUGACGCUGAGGAGCGAAAGCGUGGGGAGCGAACAGGAUUAGAUACCCCCGUAGUCCCUGUCUCUUAUAC
rnacentral:rRNA from 1 species